GAUGAACGCUGGCGGCGUGCCUAAUACAUGCAAGUCGAGCGAACAGACGAGGAGCUUGCUCCUCUGACGUUAGCGGCGGACGGGUGAGUAACACGUGGAUAACCUACCUAUAAGACUGGGAUAACUUCGGGAAACCGGAGCUAAUACCGGAUAAUAUAUUGAACCGCAUGGUUCAAUAGUGAAAGACGGUUUUGCUGUCACUUAUAGAUGGAUCCGCGCCGCAUUAGCUAGUUGGUAAGGUAACGGCUUACCAAGGCAACGAUGCGUAGCCGACCUGAGAGGGUUGUCCGCCAAACUGGGACUGAGGCACGGUCCAGAAUCCUACGGGGGGCCACAGUAGGGGAUCCUUCGGAAUGGGCGGAAGGCUGACGGGGCCACGGCGGGGGGGUGAAUAAGGUCCUCGGAUCCUAAAACCCUGUUAUUAGGGAAAAAAAAAUGUGGAAGUAACUAUGCACGGCUUGGCGGGUCCUAAUCAGAAAGGCACGGGUAACUUCGGG
rnacentral:rRNA from 1 species